rnacentral:lncRNA from 1 species
UGACGCAUCUAUAAACCAAAGAACACCAAGGAUUGCUGGCAGCCUCCAGAAAGUAGAAGCAAGGAAGGAUUCUGCCCUGAGCCCCCAGAAGGAGCCAACCCUGCCAACACCUUGAUUUCAGGCUUCUGUGCUCCAGAACUGUGAGAAAAUCAAUCUCUGUUGUUUUAAGCCACUGAGUUGUGGUAAUUUGUUACCUGGGAAACUAACACAGUUGACUGUAAACUCCACGAGGGGAGGAACCAUAUCUAAAAUGAACUCACUGUUGUACCUUGGUGCCUGGCACGGUGCCUAGGAUGU